AGUGAACGCUGGCGGUAGGCCUAACACAUGCAAGUCGAACGGCAGCACAGUAAGAGCUUGCUCUUACGGGUGGCGAGUGGCGGACGGGUGAGGAAUACAUCGGAAUCUACUUUUUCGUGGGGGAUAACGUAGGGAAACUUACGCUAAUACCGCAUACGACCUACGGGUGAAAGCAGGGGAUCUUCGGACCUUGCGCGAUUGAAUGAGCCGAUGUCGGAUUAGCUAGUUGGCGGGGUAAAGGCCCACCAAGGCGACGAUCCGUAGCUGGUCUGAGAGGAUGAUCAGCCACACUGGAACUGAGACACGGUCCAGACUCCUACGGGAGGCAGCAGUAGGGAAUAUUGGACAAUGGGCGCAAGCCUGAUCCAGCCAUGCCGCGUGGGUGAAGAAGGCCUUCGGGUUGUAAAACCCUUUUGUUGGGAAAGAAAAGCAGCAGGUUAAUACCCCGCUGUUCUGACGGUACCCAAAGAAUAAGCACCGGCUAACUACGUG
rnacentral:rRNA from 1 species